rnacentral:rRNA from 1 species
UACGUAGGGUGCAAGCGUUGUCCGGAAUUAUUGGGCGUAAAGAGCUCGUAGGCGGUUUGUUGCGUCGGCUGUGAAAUCCCGAGGCUCAACCUCGGGUCUGCAGUCGAUACGAGCAAACUAGAGUGUUGCAGGGGAGACUGGAAUUCCUGGUGUAGCGGUGAAAUGCGCAGAUAUCAGGAGGAACACCGGUGGCGAAGGCGGGUCUCUGGGCCGAUAUUGACGCUGAGGAGCGAAAGCGUGGGGAGCGAACAGG